GUCAGACUGGAUAGCUCAGUUGGUUAGAAUGUGGUUCUGAGAAUGCCAAGGUUGCAAGUUCAAUCCCUGUACAGUGAUA